rnacentral:rRNA from 1 species
UACGAAGGGUGCAAGCGUUAAUCGGAAUUACUGGGCGUAAAGGGUGCGUAGGCGGUUGUUUAAGUCUGUCGUGAAAUCCCCGGGCUCAACCUGGGAAUGGCGAUGGAUACUGGCGAGCUAGAGUGUGUCAGAGGAUGGUGGAAUUCCCGGUGUAGCGGUGAAAUGCGUAGAGAUCGGGAGGAACAUCAGUGGCGAAGGCGGCGCUCUGGGCCGGUACUGACGCUGAGGAGCGAAAGCGUGGGGAGCAAACAGG